CAGCCGCCGCGGUAAGACGUAGGGGGCAAGCGUUGUCCGGAAUUACUGGGCGUAAAGGGCACGCAGGCGGUGCGCCAAGUCGAGGGUGUAAAGUUACGGCUCAACCGUGACAUUGCAAUCGAUACUGGCGUGCUGGAGUGCGGGAGAGGGAAGUGGAAUUCCCGGUGUAGCGGUGAAAUGCGUAGAUAUCGGGAGGAACGCCAGUGGCGAAGGCGGCUUCCUGGCCCGCGACUGACGCUCAUGUGCGAAAGCCAGGGGAGCGAACCGGAUUAGAUACCCGGGUAGUCCUGGCCGUAAACGAUGGGUGCUAGGUGUAGGCGCGUCAAGCGUCUGUGCCGAAGUUAACGCGAUAAGCACCUCGCCUGGGGAGUACGGUCGCAAGGCUGAAACUUAAAGGAAUUGGCGGG
rnacentral:rRNA from 1 species